ensembl:snoRNA small nucleolar RNA, C/D box 45B
GGUCAGUGAUGUGAUGGCAUGUAUUACCUGAAUCCAAAGUUGAUGGAUAUCACACUUUAGCUCUAGAAUUACACUGAGACCUU